UACAGAGGGUGCGAGCGUUGUUCGGAAUUAUUGGGCGUAAAGAGCUUGUAGGCGGUUUGUCGCGUCUGCUGUGAAAUUCCAGGGCUUAACCCUGGGCUUGCAGUGGGUACGGGCAGACUAGAGUGUGGUAGGGGAGACUGGAAUUCCUGGUGUAGCGGUGAAAUGCGCAGAUAUCAGGAGGAACACCGAUGGCGAAGGCAGGUCUCUGGGCCACUACUGACGCUGAGAAGCGAAAGCAUGGGGAGCGAACAGG
rnacentral:rRNA from 1 species